GCCAUAGCCGGAGCUCAUUGGUCGUGGAGAAGUCCAUGGCCCUGCGUACCACCUGCACGGUCAAUCUGCCGCAGGAGAAACGGCCUGCAUGCCGCAGCGAGAGGCCACGCAAGAUUCAACACCGCCCCCAACCCCAAGGCUUGAUUCGCGGAACCUCUGCCCGGUGCCCCCAGAAUAUUCCAGCACAACCCUCUACGCAUAGCCGGCGGAAAUGUUAUUGAAUUGGGAAUCAAUAUGGGAGACUUUCCAUGGUGAGCCAUAGAGGUCAAUUUCCUGUUCAUAAUCUUAUCUUUGUUUAUGUCUGCAUUUUCCUCAAUUAUUUCUUAAUCAUGUGAAUCAUGUGUAGAUUGUUUCUGUAUAGUUCUACAUACUCACCUCCAUGCUACAUUUGAGGAGAGCCUACAGAUUGUCGUAUUAUUUUGUUCACCCAUGAUACAAGGUUCUUCACUUUCAAUUUUUUCUCUGAAUUCUCAAUCAUGUGAAUCAUGUGUAGAUUGUUUCCGUAUAUCUGGACAUAAUCAUCUCCAUGCUACAUUUGAGGAGAGGCUACAGAUGGUCGUAUUAUUGUUUAACCAUGAUACGAGGUUCUUCACUUUCAGUUUUUUCUUUGAAUAAUAUUGAUUGCCUGAAAGCAAGUCUUCUAUUGCUCCUGCAACUAUACAUUUUGUAUGAAUUUUCUUUGCCUACAUGAUGGGUGAUGAUUUGUUGUGCCAAUUAUUCGCAGCUAGGGAGAUGAGGUGGGUUACCGGGUAGGAACCAGAACAAGAAUGAGAAGGAGCUUAAGUAGGAGCAUUGCAAGUUGAUAUGGGAGCUCAACUUUAGCAUAUUCACCCGCCUCCACAUGCCCUCCUGGCUUUCGUUCACAGGGAUCUGCAACCGCUGGGCCUUCACUGUGGGCGCUGCCGCCUUCGCGCAGGGUGUGGUUGAUCGCUGCCGCCUGGUCUUCACCGCGGGCGCCGCGGAAUCCUUGCUGAGUGCUAUUGGUGGACAUCUCCAUGCUCCAUCGACGUGUGCCGCUGGUGCCGUGAACUAUCUAGGAUAAGGUGCCAAGGUGGGAUCAUGGUUUAGGAACCCAGGAGCUGGUGUUGCUGCUUCAGCAAGUGCCGGAUGCGGCGGCAAGUAUCGUACAACUAGGACAACUGGCUCUUAUGAUGACAAUGGAAAUGCCACUGCAGUACAUGAUUCAAGAGAAAAGAGAAAAGUGAAGGUGCUGCACUUAGCAUUUAAAUUUCCCCUUAAAACACACAAAAUAUAAGUAGCUAAGAUGGGCCUCCAACGCCCCAUAUCAUGUUCAGAAGUUGCUCCGAGAUGAAUUAAAUUAGCCAUGGCACAAUGAUAUGUCAUAUUAUCAUGAUAUACUUUCAUUAGUCAGAACAUAAGUGAUAUGUUUUUGCACUCCAUCAUUAUCUAUUUUGAGAAAUCGUACAUCGGCACUAGAUUUAGAAUUAGGGUAAUUUUUUUGGCUUUAGAAGUUUUUACCUUUCACUUUUCUAUACCAGUUCUUCAACUGAAAAUGUGAUCUACUCAGGAUGAAAUUAUGGACAUAUAGCCUAGCUAUUUCUUUCUGCCGAUUAUUGUUAGGAAGUAAUACAGUAUUUCUACCGUCGGAUCUAAUUUCUUUGUCCUAUUGCCUACAUUCUAAUCACAUUGUUAUUUUUCCACGUGGGUACCCCAUUUACUGCUACCUGACCUUGAUUACCUAGAACAUGAUGAGUUGAUGGCAAAGGUAAUUUUACUAUCUUAGUGGUUUCUCUUGGUCAUAAAGUCACUUACUCAACAUACUUUUUGGCAUGUCAUAUUGUGUACAAUUGUUUCCAAAGAGGAGGUUGUUCAACUAUAGUACCUGCCACUUAAUACCGUUGCAUCCUAUGAUACAAAAUAAGGUUCCACCCUAUCUUAUUGAUCUGUAUAUGUCUAUAUGGCAACAGAAAUCCAGGUUGGCAUACACCCGAAAAAGAUGGAAAUUAGGCAGGACACGCACAGUUCCGAAAAACACUCUGGCUCAUCGUGACUUCUUUACCCAGUUCACCAGGUUACUAAUGUGUUUGGUCAUGAAAGGAAAGCAGGUCCAAAAGUAUGGGAAUGCAGACAAGAGCACAUCGGAAGUCAGCUACAUGAACUGCACGACAAAUGCUUGCUACACUCGCCUAGCCUGAUCAAGGAGUCCAGAGGAAGGAGAAGCAAGCUUGGCUCAAGGAUUUUAACUAUGCUGUAUUUUGCCCUGGGAACAGGCAAUACGAGCAUUUCAAUAAGAAUUGUUGAACAGAGAUACACAGAUUGAAUAUUUUAUUGGAGGCGCUCCAAAUGAAGUUGGAGAGUGGCCAAGAGGAAGGAAUUGAUUGUAUGAUUUAUUUUCAUACAUACUACUUCCGUAUGUUAGUCCCCUUUCCACCUCUCUGUAUGAUUGCAAUCAGUAUUAUCAUGAUGUAGUACAUUGCGAUAUCUCUGAUUUGUUUUGAAUUUUAUAAUGAGUUGUGAAUUAUAUAUGUGCAUUGAGAAAUGAAAUUUGAAGACCCGUAGCAACGCACGGACAUUUGUACUAGUAAGAAUAGAAAGGCCAAGGCAUCAGCUGCUACACCAACCAAGAAGCAGAUCGACGAAGAACUCUUCCCACACAAAUAAAGAUGUUAGCACUCUGAGCAUACCGGAGAUCUGUCCACAAGAACAGAUCAAUUCAGCUUGAGAACCCAAAGCAAAAAACCCUCCCACGUCAGCAAGUCUGCCCCAUGCGUCCUUUGUCAUCCACGUCAGCAACAAUUAGUACUAACCAUGCAGAUCAAACGUGACCGCCUUUUUGCAGCUAAAGCCCAUAAGGCCCACUAAAAAAGCCCUCUACCGGUGAUCCUCUUCCAACCAGCAAUGAGAAGCUAAUAAGGCAGCUAAGCGCAUAAGGCCCACUAAAAAAGCAACGGAGGUUGAUCGAAAAAGAAACGAAGCGGCCGACGGCCUCUUUCUCUUCCUCUCUCCCACGAUAUGUGCAGUGCCUAUUGAGUCCUCGCCGCAGUAAUGGUGGAAAAUGAAUCGCUUGAGCCGGCGAGGCAAGCGAGCAGUCGCUGGCGGGCUGCCUUUUUAUUCUUCUCCGCCCACCUCAUUUGUGCCCCGUGUCACCAGUCCACCCUCUCUCGGUUCUCCCUGCAUCAACCUUUCUCGGUUCUCCCUGCAUCAAACCCCUAAUCUGGAUUUGAAUGUCGAGUGUCGAAGUCUUAUUACUAUCAGCAAUACUAGCAGUAGGAGUCCUCGGUGGGCAUUACUCGACUAAGGAACUCUAGAAGCAAAGGUAAUACCAAGUGUGAUAUUGAAUCAGAGUGUUUGGAUUUAUCCAUUUGCGGUGUUGACAAAAAUUUAGUUUGAAGAUGCA